rnacentral:rRNA from 1 species
UACGUAGGGGGCAAGCGUUGUCCGGAUUUAUUGGGCGUAAAGAGCGUGUAGGCGGCCUGACAAGUCUGCUGUGAAAACUCGAGGCUCAACCUCGAGAUGUCGGCGGAAACUGUCUGGCUAGAGUCCGGAAGAGGAGAGUGGAAUUCCUGGUGUAGCGGUGAAAUGCGCAGAUAUCAGGAAGAACACCUAUGGCGAAGGCAGCUCUCUGGGACGGUACUGACGCUGAGGAGCGAAAGCAUGGGGAGCAAACAG